UACAGAGGUCUCAAGCGUUGUUCGGAUUCAUUGGGCGUAAAGGGUGCGUAGGCGGCGCGGUAAGUCGGGUGUGAAAUCUCGGAGCUUAACUCCGAAACUGCAUUCGAUACUGCAGGGCUAGAGUACGGAAGAGGCGAGUGGAAUUCCCGGUGUAGCGGUGAAAUGCGCAGAUAUCGGGAGGAACACCUAUUGCGAAGGCAGCUCGCUGGGACGUUACUGACGCUGAGACGCGAAAGCGUGGGGAGCAAACAGG
rnacentral:rRNA from 1 species